CCAGACUCCUACGGGAGGCAGCAGUGGGGAAUAUUGGGCAAUGGGCGCAAGCCUGACCCAGCAACGCCGCGUGAAGGAAGAAGGCUUUCGGGUUGUAAACUUCUUUUGACAGGGAAGAGUAGAAGACGGUACCUGUCGAAUAAGCCACGGCUAACUACGUGCCAGCAGCCGCGGUAAUACGUAGGUGGCAAGCGUUGUCCGGAUUUAUUGGGUGUAAAGGGCGUGUAGGCGGGAAUGCAAGUCAGAUGUGAAAACUAUGGGCUCAACCCAUAGCCUGCAUUUGAAACUGUAGUUCUUGAGUGUUGGAGAGGCAGGCGGAAUUCCGUGUGUAGCGGUGAAAUGCGUAGAUAUACGGAGGAACACCAGUGGCGAAGGCGGCCUGCUGGACAAUAACUGACGCUGAGGCGCGAAAGCGUGGGGAGCAAACAGGAUUAGAUACCCCCGUA
rnacentral:rRNA from 1 species